UUUAAAUUGGCUGCAAGUGUUUGUCUCUGUGGUUCAGCCUUGCAACAGACUGCCAGCCUGUCCAGGCUCUAUGCCACCUUUAGUUUUACUUCCUCUGCCACCUUUUCCCUUAUGAUAGCUAUUUCAUUGUCCUGUGGUUUUGAUCCCAAGGUUUGGGUUUGUUGAGACUUUCUGCUUAAGUAUUAAAUAUUCUGUUUGAUUAUGGUUUUCUGGUUUUUGUUGCUUGGAGCUCUUAUACUCCAGGUUUUCUUUACUUUUGUAAGUGCCAGCUUCAUAGUCUCAUUCAGGUUUUAGUUUUCCUUUGUUUUGACUUCUGUUUGUUAUUUCUUGUGUUAAUUUCUAGUUAUUUCCUGUUGAUUUGUAUUCCAGGGUUUUUUCAUUCCUUGGUAUCUGUACCUUCAUUUUGGAUCAGGUUUAUUGUCACUGUUUAGUCUUCAGUUCUUGUUAGAGUUAGAAUCACUUGGUUUAGCUUCAUUGCUUUAGUUGAUCACUUAACGACUCCUUGUUAAGGCUUCAUUUCUGUGUCAUGUUACUUCCUGUUUUAUUUGUCUCUUACGCUAUGUUGUAGUUUUAGUUUCCUAUGUCUCGUUGUCUCUGAUUUAAUUCAGCUGUGUCUAGUUUCCUAGGCGUCUCCACUCUCCCCCCAAGAUUUACUGUCUCCCAGCAUAGUCUCAAGAGCAUGGAGGAGAUUCCAGGAGAUAGUUACUCUAGGACAGCUGAAGGUUAUUACCCAUCAGCAGAGUCAGUAUCUGCUCCUUUCUAUAAGGAGGAAACGCCAACAAAAUGACCUCCCGCAGCCCACUGCUGGGAAAGUCUCUGACCAAACAAUCAGAGACAGAUUUCAUGAGGGUGGCCUGAGGACUAGCAGAAGUGCCCUGUGCUUUUCACACAUAAACAAGUUCACUCUGAGCACAUGUAUCUAAAGUUAAAGGGUCUGGAGAAGCUGUGAAGAAUGUUAUGCUCCCUGUAACAUUGUUCUGCACAACCGGUUUGGUUGUGGGUCAGUGAUGGUCUGGAGAGGCAUAUCCUUGGAUGGACACACAGACCCCUACAAGCUAGGCAACGACGCUCUGACUGCCAUUAGGUGCUGGGAUGAAAUCUUUGGCCCUAUUGUGAGAUUCGAAGUUAAUGCAGUGAGUCCUGAGUUCCUCCUGUGCUCAACAAUGCCCAGCCUCAUGUGAUGAGAGUAUGUUUGUGUCUGGGGUCUGCAUUAGGGACUUUUUAUGCACCACCUGACAAGCCGGGACAUACACCAGCCCCCAUGACCCUGAACUGGAUAAGCAGAAGAAAAUGGCUGGAUGGACCGUUAUUGUUUGUGAACAAGGUUACAUGAUUCAGUCCUCUCCUGUUCCUUUCUUUCUCUACUUACAGCAAAGCUGGAUAAUGCCACAGAGUAACCACUAUGGUGGUUGGUAAUUGGACCAUUAAGCAAGUGCAACAUUAAUUCCUUCAAAUCCUGCUCCCUCUGUUAACUGAAUGUCAUUUAAAUUGUAUUUAAUCAGCUACUGUUGUUGUAAAAUACACAUCUGUCGUGCAAGUUUGGAAACACCAGCUUAGUGUGCAGUCAUUUCAGCUUAAUCUCUAGAAACAGUUGCAUGGAAACAGUCCCUGUGGACAGCAAAGUUUUAAAAGGUAUCCACUGGCUAACCUGGGAACCACAAAGCACUGGUUGAGAAGUUCCCCGACUGGUUCUACAGGAACCAGGGGAAAAAAGGGAGAAAAUAAAAAUUAUUAUUGUUA